UGGCUUGGAGCUUGUUAGAAAUAAAGCAGCGGAUUAGGACCAAAGGUGGCAGGUCCCCUGGUGAUGGACUGUGGCAGAUGGGAAACAGAGACUUGUAGAUGUGACUGAUAGUGAAAGUUUUAUAGAGGGGAAGUCCCUGCCCUGGCAUACAUCUGCAACACAAGCAUGUGCAACUUGAACUCACACGUGGGAGUGUUUCACUUCAACUCAUUAAGCUUGCAAGCCAAGGCUCGCUCGGCUUUCCGACGGAUCUGCGUGGGUGGCUAACAGAGUGUGAUCUCAGAGCUGGCUGUUUGACGCUGUUAAGGUUCCACCUGCCAACGCUGUCUGAGAGUACUGAAGCUUUCCCUUUGAGCAGGAUAGAAAGCCCGUGGCUUCCUGUUUGCACGGAAACGAAUCAAACACCCAGCAAAUCAAGGCAGAGCUGGAUUUCUCCUGUCAAUGACCAAUGCAUCACAUAAAUGCUUCACUCCAGCGCUGGUCUUUUGUGGCUGUUCUUCAAACGGACUUGAUGCUAUGCCCUUUGGAAAGGGUGGAAUUCAUCAAUACUAACUCUAGGAAAUAUACCAAGACAACGGCAAACCAGUUCAGAGCGGCAACACUGUCUUACGUGGAGCUCAGGACAUGUGUGUGAAACUUACUAAAUGUCCAGUGAACCAUGAGUAUCCCAGGUGUAUGUAUACCGUAACUCUUUAAAAGAUUCACCUACUUCUGUUCUUUCCCACUGUUCUUCUGGAGGGCAGACAGGACCUUUUCUGUCCGUCCAUCACCCCGACUACUCUAUCUCUGUGUCUCUUAUUUUCUUACCUUCCCCUCAAUAAACACUCAGUACUAUAGAAGAUGUUCUCGCUCGAUGGCAGGAUGAGGUAUCUUCUAACUGUAAAGCCCAGGUGGGGAGAAAUGGAACCCCAAGCAUUUCUUGGAACAGCCUUACGCUAAUCGACUUUGUCAGCAGCACACUCUCCCUUUGAGCUUGGAGACUCAUGCACAUACACACAGGGAAUAUAGUUUCAAUGUAAGGACUAGUGAGAGAAGCACCAUUUGCCUUAUGCUCCUGUCUCCCCCACAGGCAGUAGGGUAAGGUAGGUAUGUUUACUCUGCAGUUUCUUGGGUUUACAAACAUCUACGCUCACAAUGAAAAUAGUUUUAUUUUUAUUAUUGUAACCAGCAUCUUACAAAGCGUUUUAAAGUUUAUCCUAUUUACAUUUACAUUAUGCAGAAUUUCAAUCACCCACAGUUAACAUGCUAAAAUUUCCUCUUUACUUUUUAUGUGUAUGAGUGUUUUGUCUUUUCCUUGCACAUGCAUGUGUACCACGUGUGGUCAGAAGGCACUACAUCAGAUCCUUUGGAAUUGGGGUUAUGGAUAGUCAUGAAUCACUACAGGUGCUGGGAGCCAAACCUAGGCUCUUAACAAUGUUCUGAAACAGGAUCAUUCCACUUAAGCACAGGAAAUUCUGUCAGUUCACAACAACAUACCACCUUCUUUUAAACUGCUGUAGACAUUCCAUUACAUAGACUAGUGACUUAACCUUCCCUGUUAACGGGCAUUUGUUUCACUCCAUUUAAUUUUGAAAAAAGUCAGUUUGACCAGAGCCUUGUGGUAUAGGCCUACAAUCCUGGCUGCUCAGGAGGCUGAAGUAAGAGGCUCUAAAGCUCAAGACCUGUCGGGAUACUGGGGGCUCUGUAGUAUGACCAGUGUGUACAGGCCCGAGGCUAACUCCCCAGUGUCUCUUUCUCUCCACACAAAUUAAACCAAGUAGGCUGAAAACAUGUUCCUCUCUCCCUUUAAAACUAUCUAUUGGCAGGGUCUUGCUAUGUGGCCUGGGCUGGAAAUUCAGUCCUCUGCUGGGAUUACAGGCAUAUGCUACCACACCAGACAAGACUUAUCUGUAGUAAGGCACUUUUAGACACACAGAUGAAAUUUCAUAUGUAUCAUAUAAUCACAAUCAGCAAUUUCACUGCCCAAAGCAACUCCCAAGUAUACCCCAUACAAACACUGGCCUACUCCCCAGCCUGUUAUAGAUGCUACCCGGAAGCACACAGUAGGUAGCCACAUCAAAUGUACCAGACCUCUAUCCAACUGUAUGUAUCAGGAGUCCUUUAUCGUCACUAUGGGAAGAAGUCCACUGCAUGAUGGGAAGCUCCACUGCAGGACUAUACCGCAGUUUGAUCUACUGUCUGGGGCACAUCUGAGUGGUUUCCAGGUCUUGGUGAUUCAAACUAAAGCUACAGUGCAUCCUCAUCUCCUAGUGGCAGGACUGUGGGGUUGCAUGUUUAACUCUGUAAGAAGUUGCGUCAUUCUGCAGGUCCAUGGACAGUGUCUGUGAGUUCUGGCAGCUCUCCUCGUUCAUUAUUCCUGAUACUGCUGGGUUUCUACAGUGGCUUUACCUACCCAACAGGCAUGCAGCGUGCUUUUGUGGUCUUAAUUUUGUUUCUUUAGUUACCACUGGUUGUUGGGCAUGUUUUCAUGUGCUAUACGGAUCCAACCUUUCAAGAAAUGUGUUUACAUUUACUGUCCAGUUUAAAUUACAUAGUCUGUUUUGUUACUGGUUCUCAGAGAUCCUUUUGUAGUUUUGAUUCCAAUUUGUUUUUUGUAUGAAUACAUUGGUAAAACUUGUUAACUGUAAGAGUCUCCGUUUAGCAUCAGGGUGGAAAGAGCAGUAUGUACUUUUGGAGUUCCUGACACUGUGCUCUCUCUUUGGAUACAUCCAACAGCUGCCUUUGAACACCCAGCAGUGAGUGUUGACUAAUGAAUGUCACAGCGGUGUCCUGGGGAUGGCAUCACUGGUGGGCUACAAGGAUGUCAAGGUAGACAGCAGCCUGUCCUGAAGAACCUGUAUGGUGACCUGCUGCUGUUCUGUCUUCCGUGUCCUCUUGGAACCCACCUUUCCUCUUUCCAUCCAGUUGACAAAGGCUCCUUAGGAGUGUACCUGGCAGGACCGGAAGGAAGGGCUCUGCUCACCCGGCUCCCGUGGCUACUGGAUCCCGACUGUGUUACUUCCUCACGGCUGUGCCGUCUCUGGCUGCUCCAGACUAUUCACGGGAAGUCAAGCCAGGCCUCCGAGUAGCCAUCUCACUGACUGGAUAAAAGGUAAAGCAGCUAACAGGCUGUCUGAUACAGAAUGACUGAGAUGGUUAGACUUAAGAGACCCGUCCAGUACAAUUCCCAACUCGGUGUUCCAGUAAUGAGAUUGUGGUAUUACCGACACCCACAAAGGCAAACUGAGCAGAGGAGGCACCCUUGUGUUUCAGGGAAGUAGCAAAGAGCAAAAACGACAAGUUCUGUGGGAAGGUACAUACUGUACAAUUUACCCAGCACACUAAGUUCUGCAGCGACCGCGCUGCCACCAUGGGCUUCUGGACACUUGGCUUUUGCUAUCCAGAGGUGGUGGGGGUGGAAGCUGCAAUGACUGUGAUCAAUGAAUACAUGUAGGAAAUUGGUAAAGGACAAUAAAAGAUUAAAGAAGCAGAGACAAA